UACGUAGGAGACGAGCGUUGUCCGGAGUUACUGGGCGUAAAGGGUGCGCAGGUGGUUGUGCGCGUGGGGGGUGAAAUCGCCCGGCUUAACCUGGGAACUGCGUCUGAUACUGGAGGGCUUGAGUGCGGGAGAGGGAUGUGGAAUUCCAGGUGUAGCGGUGAAAUGCGUAGAUAUCUGGAGGAACACCGGUGGCGAAGGCGGCAUCCUGGACCGACACUGACGCUGAGGCGCGAAAGCGUGGGGAGCAAACAGG
rnacentral:rRNA from 1 species